GCCAGGAGUGGUGGCUCACUCCUGUAAUCCAAGCACUUUGGGAGGCCGAGUUGGGUGGAUCACCUGAGGUCAGGAGUUCGAGACCAGCCUGGCCAACAUGGUGAAACCCCAUCUCUA
rnacentral:SRP_RNA from 1 species